GCCGAGGUGGUGAAAUUGGCAAACACGCUGGCUUCAGGAGUCAGUGCUCGCAAGGGCUUAAGGGUUCAACUCCCUUCCUCGGCA
rnacentral:tRNA from 1 species